rnacentral:lncRNA from 1 species
UCAAGGAAUCAUUAAAAAGAAGGAAUCUAAGACUAUUUUAAAAAUUUCUCUCAAUGAUUUAAUAUUUGGGUUUUAUGUAUUUUAUUCCAUUUUAGCACUGUGAGAUAGCAUGAUUGCCUAAAGGACUGUAUUAAAGAUGAGUGCACAGUUCUGUCUUAUUUAUCUGCUGUCACAUUGUUUUGACACAGAAGAAAGUCAAGUAACAUUGAUGAAGAGCUAAAAUAUGCUCUAACUGUGGAAAAAAUAAAUAUAAAUUGUCCAUAGUUGCUCAAUUUCUAAAGUAAAAGGAAAAAAUACAGUGUAAGACUGUGAAUUAGUUCAGGAAGGUAAACUUAAGUAAUGUUUAUUUAACUUCAAGAUUUCAGUGGCUUAACUCAACAAAGGUCUGCUUCUUCUGCAUGUCACGGGACAAUGCUGGUUGGUAUGGAUGGCUCUUCUCCAUGCAGUAAUUCAGAGACACAGGCUUCUUUCAUCUAGUGAUUUAUUUUUCCCUGCAGCUUCAGAUACUCUUUUUCCCUCUCUCUGGGAUCCUUUGCAUCUGUCUGGCAGAUAUGGAGACGGAAAGCACAAGAGGAUUGUGUUAGGAGUCUUAAGGGCUGGAUGUGACACUCCUUGAAAGGGAAGCUGGGGAAUGAGUAUGUAGGUGUGUGUCCAGGAUGUAGGGAAAAUGGGUUUGGUGGGGACAGCACUUCCUGGAAUAACGUUGCUUUGGAUUUAACAACAGUUGGGCAAAGGAGGUCGGUAUACAGAUACAGGACAAGAAGAGUGGUGUCAAAGGGAGGCUAAAUCAUUGGUUCUGGCUUCAUCUAAGGAAUUCUUAUGAGAAAUCGAGGGAGAGACUGUCCUGGGAAGUCUGAUGAAACAUGAUCAAGAUAUUUUAACUUCUGUGUUUAGCGCCUUUAAUAGAUUGAGCUAAGAAGUCUAAGCAAUCUUCAGGGCUAAGAAACAAGCUGCACUUGCCAGAGUUGGAUGUUCACACCUUGGUGAUGGCUGAUAUUAAACAGAAUUCUUAAUGAACAAAUCGGCCUUGAAAAGGGAACAUGGUGAAGCAAGACAAAAGAAUUACAAACUUUGACUGAAACUUUCUCCUACCAGGAAUACAGGGACCGCUCACCAGGUUGUGAUGAGAAGGAUCAUCUGAAAUGCUCCAUUGCUCUCAGAAGUUGAGGUAACUUCAUUGGGCCCAAACUGAUAAACUAGGAAUGGCUCAGAAAAUAGCCCCUUAGAAGAACUGUAUGAAGCUUGGAUCCAUUUUUCUGUUUCACUGACCCUUCUUAACCGCUAGUGGCUCAGAGGUCUGGUGAGGUGGUGAGAGCUGUCCUAGAUGACAUGCACCUGGAGCCCAAAUGUGGGAGAAAAAAGAAAAAUCCCUCCAAUGAUUUGGUGAGGAGUUGAAGACAAAUAUCUUUAUUAUUUAUAAGUAUUCUGGCCAAGACAAUGAGUGUUGGAGUGGGAGGAUGAGGGAAUUUUAUGAUGAACGACAGCACAGCAAGAUGGACAGUAAGGCUCUGUCAUUGCCAUACCAGAUGUACAGAAGUGGCAUUUCAACUAAGGACACUGAAUAUGAAACAGACCUUGGAAAAGAGAGGAUGGAGUUAACUCUGAGAACAGAAAUCACCUACCUCUCUCCUCCCUAAACACACAGCUUACUGUCUAUAAUAAUAUACCCUUACUGGUCCAUUGUCCUCAUUAACAUAACUACAAUUCCAGGAGACUCUUGCCCAGGCAAAUUGCUUUAUUGUUCAUUACAGAGAGUUUUUGAAACAAAGAACCAUCAAUGCUUCAACAGAAAGCAUCAACAGUUUAUACCCCAAGAUCUUAGAACUCCUCACUUCCAAAUCCUCACUAUGCUAAUCCUAAACUAUUAUGUCAUGAUUUUUACCUAAACAAGACCCUGCAUGGAAAGAUCCUCUUUAUACAAUCUUUCAUUUUUUUGUCCUGGCUUUAAAAUGCAAAGCCCAUAUCCUUGGAAUUCCCUCUGUCUUGGGCAAAGUGUGACAGUUGGCCACCCUACUCCAAAAUCUCAUAAUUUUCCCACCUUGCCCCUCUAGAGACUAUCAAUCUCUGUUGAGGUGGUUCUCUCUUUCCAGGGUGAGCAAUAAACUCCUUGCCAGAGCUUUCCAUUGGGGGAGGAGGGUUUGAACUACUGCCAGAGACAAACAGAUGUAAACUAGAUGCAGGAGUUUGGAAAUUGAGCAGGGUUUGCAGUCUGGAAAAUUGCUCCACAAGAGACUGUCGUUGAACGAGUAGUCCUGAGUGAGUGGUCUAAGAGAACGUCAGAGUGAAAGAAAAUGCAGCCCACCUGGGUCAGCUGAAAAGGUAGAGAAUAAAAGGGAAAUGAAAUGCAGCUGCUAGUAACAGUUGAUUAAAUGAGGCUGGCAACUUACAUGGAGGCUGGAAGAGGAGAAAUGUGGGAGAGGCAGCAAGGAGAGAGAAGGAAACAUGAAGGAGGAGAAGAUUUCUAGAAGGAAAUGUAAGAGCUACAAAGGAGAAAGAUGAAUGAGAGACCCCACAAGAAAACAGCAGGGAAAAGAAGCUGCUUUCUGAGUUGAUGGUUGUUUCUAGUUUGGGGCUAUUAUGAAGAAAGCUGCUAUGAAGAACAUCCAUGUACAAAUCAUUUUAUGGACACACAUACUCAUUGCUCUUGGGUAAAUAUCUAGGAAUAUGAUUUAUGGAUCAUAG